CAGUAAUAAGGUAUUUUAAAAUUUUGAAAAAAAAAACCAAAAAUCGAAAGAAAAAUCCUUUUGUGGUAUGAAAAAUGAAAUAUUAAAAAAUUAAAAUGUUAAAAACUAAAGUCUAUUUUGGUGAAACUUAUGAAUUGAAUUAACAAUUAUUUAAAGAAUUAAAAAUGUAAUAUAUUCCGAUUAUAUUAAUGUCUGAGGUGGGCCAUGGAGGGUCUGGGCCUGGGGCUGUACUCGUCCGACGGCGAGAGGGUGCAGGUUUGAAUGACCAGCGCAUGAUAAUCGUACCGCACCCGCCCAUCUCUCUGGCCUCCGCCCCCGUGUCAGGACGGCCAGCUGUAUCUCUGACCUGCAGGCGAUUCGACGUCAUUUCUGCAAAGUUGCAUCCAUAAUCUUUUUUUUUUUUAAAUAUAAAUGUGGGUAUUUGAUUUUGUUUUUGUCUUACAUGAUUCAUGAACAUGGUUUAGGGAUCGGCGAGGGAUGAAUGUGGACGGGGGUGGGGUUAAGGCUAUCCCACCCCAAAGUAAGUUUGUGUCUUUUCCCAAACGGCAGCUUUGCCCCGUUCAGGCUCUGCUGCGAUUUGGCUGCACGCAAAAAGUCUACUCGUUUUGUUUUGCUCUCUGCAUAGUCCGUAUUCGUCCGGCACGUGUUCACGGACUCUGUGUGUUCUACUGUUCUCCAUUGAUCAUGUGUGUGGUCCACGGUUCAAUAUUAAUUAAGGCAUUUUUUUUUUCUUAUGAAUUUUUCCUACGACUGCAAACAAGUAUAGACUGAGUGUCGUGAUUGUCACAGCCUUUUCCGGCGUUAUUCCGAUCAGCCCCGGCGGCUUCCCGUUCGCGUCCUUCAGCCUCGACAACUCCCCUUGCACCGCAACGUUUAGAAUCUCCUUCGUCGUGAAAUCAAACGCCGUGACGCGGCCGCCAGCUGCCUCAAUCCAACUCGCGAUCGCGACCCGGCGAGGCGGCUGUCGGGAGUGCCGCCUUCGAAGAGGCAGAGGAUUCCUCUGGCAUCUUUACGCUCGGCGCUGCGGUGGUUGAGGACCAUGUCGGCUAGUGCUUUGAUUCCUCUCUGGUUCAGGGGUGUGAUUAAUGACUUCAGCACAUCCUUGGUUCCAUAUCAAUACUGCAAACAAGAGAGCAGAGGGCUACAUAGACACAAUGAGACCGGAGAGGAGUGCAGGUAAUCGUUGUCGAGGGCAGAGGGCAAAUUACAGAGGCCGGACAUGUGUCAGGUGACCAUUGCUUGUCGAACGGUCCUCAUGAACGUUGAAGAGUACCUAUAUAAACGGAGGAGAUAAGAUUGUGACGAUUCCAGGUUUGCUGGAUCGUUGGCUAGGCGAGGGAUUAUCGCUUAGAAAGGUGCUGCUCUAGCCUUCUGAAGGAGUGUAUAAAGGUGAUCCAGGUAGGUGAGCAGAUCAGGCUCGCAGAUAGAGGGGCUUCAGUACUGCCCUGUCAAUAGAGUGAGUAUUUUUGGGAGUAUUUAUGUAUAACCCUAACCCAAUUGAAGGUAUUUUGGGAAACAAUCAUAUAUGUAUAUUUUGAAAAAUAUUUUAGCACUCAGGUAUUGUAUAUUUUCUUGAUUGUGUUUGUAUGAAUUCCGCUUCUCGGUGUUUAGGUUGAUGGUUUGGUUUAAUCUAGUUGGUAUCAGAGCAUUAUAAAUUUUACAGUAUAAAAAAAAAAAUCAGAAUUGGAAAAUAUAUAGCAGAUCGUUAUAGACUGAGAGAUGUCAGAUAUAUUCCAGACCUGAGGAAGAAUUUGAUCUCAGUCGAUCAAUUGGCAAAUGAAGGAUAUAACACAUCUUUCAUUAGUGAUGAAUAGAAGAUUUCGAAGGGUGCAUUGACAAUUGCUCGAGGUAAGAAAAGUGGUACUCUUUAUUAACUCCUGAUGCAUGCAUGUCUAUUACAAUUGCUACAGGAAAUGAUGAUAGUAACUUAUGACAUCAACGACUUGGACACCUGAGUGAGAAGGGACUCAGGGUGAUGCACUCAAAGGGUAAGUUGAGUGAUUUACAGUCGAUGAAGAUCGACACAUAUGAGGAUUGCAUAUUUGGGAAAUAGAAGAGAGUCAGUUUCCAGACAAACAUCAGUAUCCCAAAGAAGGAGAGACUUGAGCUAGUCCAUUCAGAUGUAUAAGGACCAACAACCAUUUUGUUCAUAGCUGGAAAACAUUAUUUCGUCAUGUUUAUCGAUGAUCAUUCACGGAAGGCCCUUUAGGUAACUGGAGCUAGCUACCUGGUGUUGGAGCGUAAUGUUGGUGUACUGCGAGAAGUACCUGGGUAACUCCUAAGCUUAUAUUGGGUGGUCUUUUGGAGGUUUGGACCGCCACCCAGAUUUGUGUUGUAUUUUGUGGAGUUAGACUCCUUUGUAUAGACUUUGGUAUGAUACUGUACAUUUAUAGAAAAACUUAUCUUCCGCUA